rnacentral:tRNA from 1 species
GGUCCGGUAGCUCAGUUGAAUAGAGCAAUUGCCUUCUAAGCAAUAGGUCAUUGGUUUGAAUCCAAUCCGGAUCACGA